GCAUUCCGCUUUUGGGAAAAUCCCGAAGAAUGGCUGAAAAUGUAUAUUUGCAACAGAUAAUAAUUUUUAGCUCUUUGCCAGGAUUUCCCCAAGCGAACUUUUUGAAAUAUAUAGUUUAGAUGAGGAGGCAGUUUUGGAAUUUGCAGUCGAAGGUCAUAUGUUUUAAAUCGUCAGGUGAGCGCAAGGAUAAAUUGCCGAAUGGCUAGAGCGCGCGCCUAGCUUUUUACUCCUGGUCUGGACCGGGUUCGAGUCUCGGCGGC
rnacentral:sRNA from 14 species